AGAACACAUACCGCACUCCUGCAACACAUCAUAAGUCGGUUGGCUUGCUAUUCUCCAAAUGUUCAUCAUGCUGGACGUGCUGAAGAAAUCAGAGGACCAGGUCCAAGGAAGAGAACAAGACAGAGGAGACAGGACAAGGGUAGCUCCUUGCAGGACGAGCUGUUACUCUUUCACCACAGCCACGAGAAGAAACAAGAGACAAGACUGACACCGGACUCACCAUCCUCCUGCUGUACUUCAGAGCUGAAGAACCAAGACAAGAUCGCCAACAUAAUCAAGCUGCCCACACCGAGAGGGGAAUCCUCCUGCUAAAAGUUUUAGAGGGACCCUUCCUCCUGUUCCCACUCGUCAUGACCACCAGCAUCAUCAUCAUCAUGCUCGUCCCUCCCCUCCUCCCUCUUCACACUGUUUUCCCAGAUUUAUUCACGUGCAGCUCGCGCCGCCUCACUCAGACAUGCUGUCGCCAGCGCCGUGACGUCACCCGCGCCGGGAGACUUCUCCGCUCCGACCGUUUUCCUCCGCCUGUCUUGGUGAUAAUCUAGUCCCUCCUCACCGCGGCAACGCUGAACUUGAGCAAGGAAGCAUCAUAAUUGGAAAUUGCUAUUUUUAAAUUACUUUUUUUUUUGCAUUUCACUGUAAGAAAUCGUGAAUCUGUAGAAAAAAACACUUCUG